rnacentral:rRNA from 1 species
UACAGAGGGGGCAAGCGUUGUCCGGAAUUAUUGGGCGUAAAGAGCUCGUAGGCGGUCUGUUGCGUCGGGAGUGAAAAUUCACAGCUUAACUGUGAACUUGCUUCCGAUACGGGCAGACUUGAGGUAUUCAGGGGAGAACGGAAUUCCUGGUGUAGCGGUGAAAUGCGCAGAUAUCAGGAGGAACACCGGUGGCGAAGGCGGUGAUCUGGGCCGACACUGACGCUGUAGAGCGAAAGCGUGGGGAGCGAACAGG